CAUCCGCGGCCAGAGAAGGUUUUUGAGUUUAAACUCUUUUUAAGAGGUUAUUGUUAGUACGCGUUAUACCUUGAAGUUUUUUAGAAUUAGGAUCGGUUAACUCCGGCCAGCAGCCGCGGUAUUACGAGGAUCCGAGCGUUUCCGGAUUUUUUGGGUUUUAAAGGGUGCGUAGGUUGCGGCAUAAGUCAGUGGUUAAAUUACGAUAGCUCCAACUAUCGAUCUGCCCAUUGAAAACUGUGUUGCUAGAGAUUGGUUGCAGCAGGCGGAAUGUGUAGUGUAGCGGUGAAAUGCAUAGAUAUUACACAGAACACCGAUUGCGAAGGCAGCUUGCUAAGCCAUAUCUGACACUGAUGCACGAAAGCGUGGGUAUCAAACAGGAUUAGAUACCCUGGUAGUCCACGCUGUAAACGAUGAUAACUUGUUGUAGGCGAUACACAGUCUGUAACUAAGCGAAAGCGAUCAGUUAUCCACCUGGGGAGUACGACCGCAAGGUUGAAACUCAAAGGAAUUGACGGGGGCCCGCACAAGCGGAGGAACAUGUGGUUUAAUUCGAUGAUACGCGAGGAACCUUACCCGGGCUUGAAAGUUAGCGACGGUUUUGGAAACAGAACUUCUCUUCGGAGCGCGAAACUAGGUGCUGCAUGGUUGUCGUCAGCUCGUGCCGUGAGGUGUCGGGUUAAGUCCCAUAACGAGCGCAACCCCUACUGAUAGUUGCCAGCGAGUAAUGUCGGGGACUCUAUCGGGACUGCCGGUGUAAACCGCGAGGAAGGUGGGGAUGACGUCAAAUCAGCACGGCCCUUACGUCCGGGGCUACACACGUGUUACAAUGGUCGGUACAGCGGGAAGCUACACAGUGAUGUGAUGCCAAUCUCGAAAGCCGAUCUCAGUUCGGAUUGGAGGCUGCAACUCGCCUCCAUGAAGUUGGAUUCGCUAGUAAUCGCAUAUCAGCCAUGAUGCGGUGAAUACGUUCCCGGGCCUUGUACACACCGCCCGUCAAGCCAUGGAAGUUUGGGGUGCCUGAAGUGCGUGACCGCAAGGAGCGUCCUAGGGCAAAACAGAUAGCUGGGGCU
rnacentral:rRNA from 1 species